rnacentral:rRNA from 1 species
AAGCUGGAGCGACCCCUAAUACCCCUUGGUGAACAUACACUUGUUGCUCGGCGGAUCAGCCCGCUCCCGGUAAAACGGGACGGCCCGCCAGAGGACCCUAAACUCUGUUUCUAUAUGUAACUUCUGAGUAAAACCAUAAAUAAAUCAAAACUUUCAACAACGGAUCUCUUGGUUCUGGCAUCGAUGAAGAACGCAGCAAAAUGCGAUAAGUAAUGUGAAUUGCAAGAAUUCAGUGAAUCAUCGAAUCUUUGAACGCACAUUGCGCCCGCCAGUAUUCUGGCGGGCAUGCCUGUUCGAGCGUCAUUUCAACCCUCAAGCACAGCUUGGUGUUGGGACUCGCGUUAAUUCGCGUUCCUCAAAUUGAUUGGCGGUCACGUCGAGCUUCCAUAGCGUAGUAGUAAAACCCUCGUUACUGGUAAUCGUCGCGGCCACGCCGUUAAACCCCAAAUUCUGAAUGUUGACCUCGGAUCAGGUAG